rnacentral:rRNA from 1 species
CCUACGGGCGGCAGCAGUGGGGAAUAUUGCACAAUGGGGGAAACCCUGAUGCAGCGACGCCGCGUGAGGGAAGAAGUUAUUCGUUAUGUAAAGCUCUAUUAGCAGGGAAGAAAAUGACGGUAUCUGAGUAAGAAGCACCGGCUAACUACGUGCCAGCAGCCGCGGUAAUACGGAGGGGGCAAGCGUUAACCGGAUUUACUGGGUGUAAAGGGAGCGUAGACGGCAGUGCAAGUCUGUAGUGAAAGGCGAGGGCUCAACCCUCGGACUGCAAUGGAAACUGUUAGGCUAGAGUGCGGGAGAGGUAAGUGGAAUUCCUGGUGUAGCGGUAAAAUGCGUAGAUAUUAGGAGGAACACCAGUGGCGAAGGCGGCUUACUGGACCGUAACUGACGUUGAGGCUCGAAAGCGUGGGGAGCAAACAGGAUUAGAUACCCGUGUAGUC